rnacentral:misc_RNA from 1 species
AUUCAAUCGUGGCGAUAGGCGUGGGUUCGUGGGGACCGCACGCCCAUCUCCGGGGGAAAAGCCUGAGAAGUACGGAUAGUGGACGCAGUUGUUGAUCGAGGAUUGCAGGUUUACCUAUCCAGGAAUUUGAUGACGGAGCUGCUGCUUUAAAACAGACGCACGCGCGCCGCACCGGGCCCUGAUGAUCAGACACGGGGACGGCUCGCUUCCCAGCUAGUGGAGACGCUCGAGGCGCAUCUGUGUCGAGAUGGCGACCAUCGACGGCCGGCCGACCCAGUAUGGGGUCACCCUCAAGCAGCUGCGCGAGCUCAUGGAGUGUCGCGGCCAGGAGGCCAUCGAACGCAUCAACACCGAGUUCGGUGGCAUCCUGGAGAUCUGCAAGAAGCUGUACACGUCGCCUCAGGACGGUCUGAGCGGAAGCCAGGCAGACAUCCAGCACAGGCGGCAGACCUUCGGGUCAAAUAUCAUCCCUCCAAAACCGCCUAAGAAGUUCAUUGAGCUGGUGUGGGAGGCGCUCCAGGACACCACCCUGAUCAUCUUGAUCAUCGCCGCGAUCGUCUCGUUAGGCCUGUCCUUCUAUCACCCGGAAAAGGAUAAAGAGGAAGGAGGAGUCGUCCGUUCCGGGGCCGUCGACGAAUCUGAAUCACACGCGAACUGGAUUGAAGGCGUCGCCAUCCUCGUUUCUGUGAUAGUUGUUGUACUAGUCACUGCCUUCAACGAUUGGUCGAAGGAGAAACAGUUUCGCGGCCUUCAGAACAGGAUAGAGGGCGAGCACAAAUUCUCCGUUAUUAGAGGAGGCGUAGUAAAUGAAAUCGUCGUUGGAGACAUUCUUGUCGGAGACGUGUGCCAGAUCAAGUAUGGUGACUUGCUGCCGGCCGACGGUAUCCUGAUACAGGGCAACGACGUGAAGAUCGACGAGUCGUCGCUGACUGGCGAGUCGGACCACGUCAAGAAGGGCGAAAAGACUGACCCCAUGCUGCUAUCAGGCACGCACGUGAUGGAGGGCAGCGGCAAGAUGCUGGUGGCGGCCGUCGGCGUCAACUCGCAGGCGGGCAUCAUCUUCACGCUGCUGGGCGCCGCUGCCGAGGAGGAGCAGAAGGAGGCGAAACGGCGGCGCAAAGCAGCUGCGGCGACGGCGGCCGGGGCCGACGGCUCGGCCAGCGUCGAGGAUGGGCUGGGGAACAACCACGCCGCCGCCAAAGCGCCGCCCAUCAUCACCACCACCGAGCACAACGACCGGCCCGGGCGCGACGCUGACGGCGGCGGUGGCGGCGGAUCCUCCGGCGGCGGCGGUGGCGGAGGUGGAGGAGUGGGCGGCAAGGAGAAAUCCGUGCUGCAGGCCAAGCUGACCAAGCUCGCCAUCCAGAUCGGAUACGCCGGCUCGCUGAUGGCCAUCCUGGUGGUGAUCGUGUUGGUCGUGAAGUUCUGCAUACAGAAGUUUGUCAUCGAAGACGAGUCGUGGAAGCCCAAGUACUUCGGCGUGUUCGUGAAUUUCUUCAUCAUCGGCGUGACGGUGCUGGUGGUGGCCGUGCCGGAGGGUCUGCCGCUAGCCGUCACGCUCUCGCUGGCCUACUCGGUCCGGAAAAUGAUGGACGACAACAACCUGGUGCGUCACCUGGACGCCUGCGAGACGAUGGGCAACGCCACAGCCAUCUGCUCCGACAAGACGGGCACGCUCACCACCAACCGCAUGACGGCCGUCGAGGUGUACGUGGGCGGACAGCGCUUCAAGCAGAUCCCCAAGUUCGAGCAGCUGCCGCCGCAGGUGGCCGACCUCAUCGUGCAGGGCAUCUCCAUCAACAGCGGCUACACGUCCAUGAUCAUCGAGAAGGAUGGCGACGCGCCUAAGCAGGUGGGAAACAAGACCGAGUGCGCACUCCUAGGGCUGGUGGAGCAGCUGGGCAAGAGCUAUCAUCAAGUUCGCGAAGACAAUCCUGAGGAGAGUCUGCACAAAGUGUACACGUUUAACUCUGUCCGCAAAUCGAUGAGCACCGUGGUGAAGACACCUGAAGGUGGCUACCGGGUCUACACCAAAGGCGCCUCAGAAAUAAUCAUGCAAAGGUGCGCCUUCAUCUGCGGCCCGAACGGCAAGCUGGAGAAGUUCACGCCCUCCAUGCAGGAGCGGCUAGUGCGCGACGUCAUCGAGCCGAUGGCGUGCGACGGCCUGCGCACCAUCGGCGUCGCCUACCGCGACUUCGUCACCGGCAAGGCCGAGAUCAAUCAGGUGCACAUCGAGCACGAGCCGAACCUGGACGACGAGGAGAAUAUCAUCAACAACUUGACGUGCCUGUGCAUUGUGGGCAUCGAGGACCCGGUGCGGCCCGAAGUGCCGGCGGCCAUCAAGAGCUGCCAGCGGUCCGGUAUCACGGUGCGCAUGGUGACCGGCGACAACGUGAACACGGCCCGCUCCAUUGCCACGAAGUGCGGCAUCGUCAGCCCCGGCAGCGACUUCCUCAUCCUCGAGGGCAAAGAGUUCAACCGGCGAAUCCGCGAUGCUUCCGGACAGGUGCAGCAGCAUCUUCUAGACAAGGUGUGGCCGCGGCUGCGGGUGCUGGCGCGCUCUUCACCCACCGACAAGUACACCCUGGUCAAGGGCAUGAUCGACAGCAAGAUGAGCAACACGCGCGAGGUGGUGGCAGUCACCGGCGACGGCACCAACGAUGGGCCCGCCCUCAAGAAGGCCGACGUCGGCUUUGCCAUGGGCAUUGCUGGUACCGACGUGGCCAAGGAAGCGUCGGAUAUCAUAUUGACCGACGAUAACUUCACGAGUAUAGUGAAGGCCGUGAUGUGGGGACGUAAUGUGUAUGAUAGCAUAGCCAAGUUUCUGCAGUUCCAGCUUACAGUGAACGUGGUGGCUGUACUAGUUGCUUUCAUCGGUGCGUGUGCAGUGGAUGAUACGCCUCUCAAGGCGGUGCAGAUGCUGUGGGUGAACCUGAUUAUGGACACGUUCGCGUCGCUGGCGCUGGCGACCGAGCCGCCGACGCCAGAGCUGCUGCUGCGGAAGCCGUACGGUCGCACCACGCCGCUCAUCUCGCGCACCAUGACCAAGAACAUCUUGGGCCAGGCAGUGUAUCAGCUGACGAUCAUCUUCACCCUGCUGUUCGUCGGAGAGCGGCUGCUGGACAUUGACGACGGACGGUACGCGGAGCCGGGCGAGCCGCCGUCCCAGCACUUCACCUUCAUCUUCAACACGUUCGUGAUGAUGACGCUGUUCAAUGAGAUCAACUCGAGGAAGAUCCACGGCCAGCGAAACAUCUUCAGGGGCAUCUUCACCAACCCCAUCUUCUACUGCAUAUGGCUGGGGACGUUCGUGGCGCAGAUUGUCCUGGUGCAGUUUGGCGGCCGGUUCUUCCAGACGGAGGCGCUCGAACUGGACCAGUGGGGCUGGUGUGUGUUCCUGGGCUGCGGCGUGCUGCCCUGGGGCCAGAUUGUUACGUGCAUCCCCACCAGGGCCAUGCCGAAAAUCCUCUCGUGGGGAAGCGCAAGCCCCGAGGAGAUCAUAUCGUCGCCGACCGUGGUGGACGAGGACAAUGGCAUGGGCACGAUGGAGCGGCGGAAAACCACGGGUCAGAUCCUGUGGAUCCGCGGCCUGACCCGGCUGCAGACUCAGACCACCCUACCCGGCGUUGACCCGCACGAAAACCCUCCGGAUGUCCUGGCCCGCCUGCACCCUUCCAUCUCGAGCCGGCUGAGUCGCAACUCGGUUGGUGGCGCCUCCUACGGCGUCCGCAUGCAGGGCUCGUCCGCAUCCGCGGCGGCCUCGGCGUCGGCGACGGCCGCCCAGUCCAGCGGCCAGCUGCCCAGCCAGACGUGGGCGUCCGGCAGCGGUGAGCUCCGUCUGCCGCCCCUGAGCCCCCGCAGCUCGGACACCUUACCAAAACCCUCCUCAUCAUCCGCCGCCGCAUCGGGUCAGCCGCAGCCUGGUGAAGGCGACAAGCCGCCGCCGACCCAGUCGGGCGACGCCGUUGCCGCGCCCAGUGCAUCCAUAUGAUCACGCCCUCCUCGUCCUGCGCCGCUCCUCCGUCCGGCCGGCCAUCCUUAAAGCCCAUGUCUGCCUCUGCCCGGCAUCCAGAUCCGUGUUGUGAACGCCUUCCGCCAGGGCGUUGACGUUUCUCGGCUUGCUGAGACAGGUAACCCGAAUUUGGCGGCA